ensembl:lncRNA
CUUUACUUAAUCUGAUUUGAUUCUUGUCUAAAAGUCAUGGGAUCACCCAAUGACCAGACCCCACCUGCACUGAUGCCAUUUUAACUUUUUUUUCACGUUCUUUCCUUUGUCUUUGUAAAGAGAUGACUCACAUACCUAUGCCUUAAAUUUAGUCCUAACCCUCAACUCGGGGCAGCAGCAGGAGCUCUGACUGCCCGUGGGUCCUGUCCCCACGCACCAGCUCUGCCUGCCCAUGGGCCCUGUCCCCCUGCCAGCGGGGGCAGCAGAAGCAGCGGCAGCAGAAACUCUGACUGCCCAUGGGUCCUGUCCCCAUGCUAUUCUACUCUCUAAAUAAAAGAGCACUACUGCCAGAUCUUAAGAGUCUAAGAAAUCUUUCUUUCGACUCCUCGGCUCACCGACCCCGCAUCAAGGAAGACGCCUUUUCACCUGCUAUGGGAGGGAGGAGCCCAGAAACCGGGGAGACAAACCCAAGAGUUUCUGCAGCUCAGGAGGCCUGCAGCCAGGGGGAGAUGAAUUCUUCCCCAGGAUAAAUUCUUUCCCAGGAGGUUUCUCAAUGCCUCAGGUAAAUAAUUAUCUGCUGGACCUGCCACACUGGCUCCCAGAAAUGCUCAAACCUGCCUCAGUUCUAGGAAGAACACAGACUAGGCUGCUAACUUCAGAUGUCAUCCUCUGUAGAUGUGUCAGGAACGGGUCUCAAAGUUUUACAGGAGGAGAAGACAAGCACAUCAUUACGGCAACCAUGUGACAAGCUCAGUGCAAGACACUUGAAAUGCGUUUUCUCUAAUCCAUUCAACCAUUUUUGGUAGGCAUAGUUUUCUACAUUUUACAGAUUGGGAAAGUUAGGGCUCCUUCAUUCAACAAGCAUUUAUGGAGUACUUACUAUGUGCAGCCACUGUUCUAGGCAUGUGAGAUACAUCAGUCACCAAUGUAGGCGAAGAUCCUUACCCUUGUGGAGGGUAUAUUCUAGAGGGGGGAAACUGAUAAUAAAUCAUUAGCAUAAUAAUACAAUAAAUUAUAUAUGUGAGAAGGCAAUUGGUUCCAUGGAACUUCAGAGAGGUUUCAAUUCAGCAAGUAUAUUUUGAGCAUCUCGUAAAUGCCAAGCAUUGGGAAUAAAAUUAAGAAUCAGAUAAACAUGCAUGCUUAUAUGGAGCUCGCAGUCCAGUGAGGCCACCGAGUAAGUGGCACAACCAGGAGUUAAUGCCAGGGGUCCAGUUCUGUGCUGGUGCUGACAUCCAUGGCAGGAACAUCUUAAUGAUAAAGUUUCUUUAAACACUGAGCACAAGAAUUUCCUCUGUAUGAAGACUUCCUCGGGCUCUCCUCUCACCCUCGAAGCGUGGUUCACUUCUCCACCUGCCACCCGUGUGUCCUCGACAUAGCCCUCAUGAAGCAUUUUGUUCCCCUGGGCUGCCUCUGUUGACUUACACACCUCUUCUCUGGGAGCUCCUGGAGACCAGGAAUUGUUUUGUACAUCUUUAUAUCCCUGUACCAAGGAUUUUGAUCAUCUGUGAAUAACAGGAAACCUGAUUAAACAGUGGCAUCGGCAAAUUCGAGGUUGAUUCUUUUUUAAUGCAACAAGAAGUCUGGAAGAGGUUGGUUGCUGUUUGUCGCUGCCUCAUUGCCUCAGGGAUGUCAUGGCUGAAGCCUGGCUGCCAGGACUCCAGUAUUCCCAACCCUGUGCAAGCAGGAGGAAGGGUCAGCACUUACAGCAGCAAAGCCAAGCCUUUUCAAACAUUCCUGGCAGUCUUCCACAUUCAUCUCGUUGGAUGGAACUGUGCCACAUGACCACUCCUAGUUACAAGGGAGGCUGGAAAGUGGGUUUUUUAAAAUUGGACACAUUGCUACCUGAACAAAAUCAGUGUUUGCUAGUAAAGAAGAAGGGGAAAGUGAAUAUUGGAAGGUAUCUAGACUGUCUGCCUCAAUCCCGAAUACAAAGCCUAGUGCCCAGCACCAUACUAUCGAGAAAGCACUCAACAACUAGUUAUUGAAUGAAUAAAUGGGUGAAUAAGUAAAUGACUUUUUGGUCCAUGUCACAUGGUCUGGGACUCUUCUUAGCCAACAAUUAAGAUAGAAUUGACGUCUUUGCUAAAAUAGUAUUCAGGAAAAUAUCAGUUGUCUAUCAGUUCUCAUUGUGAAUGUAUUUAUGCGUCUGGGUAUGUGUGUGGUGUAGAG